rnacentral:lncRNA from 1 species
CUCAGUGAAGCUUCACAACUAUUAAGAUGCUCAGGAUUCGAUGGAAACACCAAAUAUAAAAUGGAAACUCAUCUACAUAACAAAGGCGAGGAGAAAGCAGCCAUCGCCUCGGCCAUCCCCAGAUCUUUGCUUUGCAACAAGUACUGGAGUCUUACAGAGUGCACACAAUACAAGAAGCUGUAUCGUUUGAAGAACUACACAGCCCCCAUUCCACCAAGCUCUCUGUUGGCAAGUUGGCGGAACUCAGAAACUUUCCCAGCGGACUGGAUGUGGGAUGCUCAGAACCUGAAGGUACAGAUAUUUUAAACAGCUCUGCCUUCAGGCCAGCCAGCCUAGCGUGGUGUUUUAUGCAGGAAAGAGCACAGCUCCUGUAACCUGUCCGUCUGUCUGAAUUGGAGUCCCAUCCUUUUGCUGGACGAUUCGGGGAAUGUUAACUCCUCUGGGCUUCCAGUCUCUCAUCUGCAACAUGGAAGACUCGUCCCCUUACUCUGUCAGUCAGGGGUAGUGUAGACGGACAGCGUUUAUUGCCACUAACCACUGCUCGACACAUCAUGGGAAUUGUUGUUGUUAUCAUGAUUAAUAAAAACUGUUACGGUUAGAAGCGGAUACA